rnacentral:rRNA from 1 species
GUUGUAUGGUUAAGUGACUAAGCGUACAUGGUGGAUGCCUUGGCAGUCAGAGGCGAUGAAGGACGUACUAACCUGCGAUAAGCUGUGAGAAGUCGGUAAGAGACGCUAUUACUCACAGAUUUCCGAAUGGGGAAACCCACCCGAGAUAAC